AGGUAUGCAUGUUGAUCAGUAGGGGCUGAAGGUAUGCAUGUUGAUCAGUAGGGGCUGAAGGUAUGCAUGUUGAUCAGUAGGGGCUGAAGGUAUGCAUGUUGAUCAGUAGGGGCUGAAGGUAUGCAUGUUGAUCAGUAGGGGCUGAAGGUAUGCAUGUUGAUCAGUAGGGGCUGAAGGUAUGCAUGUUGAUCAGUAGGGGCUGAAGGUAUGCAUGUUGAUCAGUAGGGGCUGAAGGUAUGCAUGUUGAUCAGUAGGGGCUGAAGGUAUGCAUGUUGAUCAGUAGGGGCUGAAGGUAUGCAUGUUGAUCAGUAGGGGCUGAAGGUAUGCAUGUUGAUCAGUAGGGGCUGAAGCUGAAGGUAUGCAUG